CCUACGGGAGGCAGCAGUGAGGAAUAUUGGUCAAUGGACGAGAGUCUGAACCAGCCAAGUAGCGUGAAGGAUGACUGCCCUAUGGGUUGUAAACUUCUUUUAUAUGGGAAUAAAAUGUUCCACGUGUGGGAUUUUGUAUGUACCAUAUGAAUAAGGAUCGGCUAACUCCGUGCCAGCAGCCGCGGUAAUACGGAGGAUCCGAGCGUUAUCCGGAUUGAUUGGGGUUAAAGGGAGCGUAGGUGGAUUGUUAAGUCAGUUGUGAAAGUUUGCGGCUCAACCGUAAAAUUGCAGUUGAAACUGGCAGUCUUGAGUACAGUAGAGGUGGGCGGAAUUCGUGGUGUAGCGGUGAAAUGCUUAGAUAUCACGAAGAACUCCGAUUGCGAAGGCAGCUCACUGGACUGCAACUGACACUGAGGCUCGAAAGUGUGGGUAUCAAACAGGAUUAGAUACCCGGGUAGUC
rnacentral:rRNA from 1 species